rnacentral:lncRNA from 1 species
UUUCAUCCAAUAAAGUUUAUCAUCUAACCGAAAGAUACGCAAAGAUAUCUCCGGACGUUUAGAUAAUAAGACUUUAAAGUCUGAUAAGAAAACCCGUAAAGUCUCUCUCUAAGAUCCUGAAAAACAAACCAAGCAAAAACAAACAUAAGAAUGAUAAAUUAAAGAAAAAAAAGUAUUUUGGGGAAAAUAAACCCAAUUAUGAUAUAUAAAUCCUGACAAAAAUAAAUAUAAUAAUAUAACAUCUUAUUCAAAAAUAAAAAUUUUAGAACUAAUAAAAAUACGAUACAAUUAUGAAAAGAGAUAAUGUCUAACCAAAGUAAGAACUUUGGUUAGACACGCAACAUAAAGAAAUCGUAAUACAUAUUAAUAUAUUCUUGUGGGAACAAAAAUACAUAAACAAAAACUUAAGUUUUUUGUUAGGAAAAGAAGGAAAUUAAAAAUUAAAUCAUAUUUAUAUCCCAAUCAACGUAAAUUAAUUAUUUAAUUAUCCAAUUAGUCAAUAAAAAUGUUAUCAUAACAUCACAAAGUAUAAGAAUUAAUAAAUUCAAAUUAUUAAUCCAAGAACAAAAUUAACCGCAAAAUAUUCAUUUAGGACAAUAGGACGAUAAUCAUGCCAACCAAUAUUGGUCCAAAAAUAUAUGCCACCAAUUAUGGCCACCAAAAUUGGUACAAACUCCUUGAACGUUAUCAAGACCUAAUAAAAGCCAUCAAUAAUGGCACCCAAUAAAUAUUCAUAAAUAUUAAUAAAUUAACAAAUUUAAUAUGCCAAUUAAGCGGAAUAAAAGCACAUAAACACUUACCAAACACACAAUUUUUCAAAAAACAUGAAUGGAAUCAAUUAAUCCCUAAUUUGGGUAAAUAUAAAUCGCAUUUACAUGAAAUUUAAUUCCUUAUGUAUAACUAAAGUAUUUAAUUCCUUCCUACCCAAAAUUAUUGCACACUAACAUAUAUACAUGCACAAUAUAUAAAUUUAUACCAUAAUUAAAAUAAUCCAUAUUCAAAUCAUAAAAAUCAAUAAUUUAUUCGUACAUGCAACUAAAAACAAUUUUGAAAACUAAAACUUAUAAUGUAGAAGAUCAAACACACACGAAACACAUCAACAAAUCAAGAACUACGAAGAACACAAAUAACACAUAAAAAACUAAAACACACCUCGUUUUCGAUUAAUAUUGUGACCGACGACCACAUCAAAUCCGGCUAAGAUAAAUCAAGUUAGAAAAAAAUAGGCUAUUACACUCAACAAUUUCACAACCUAAUCCGAACAAGUUCCAACGAAGUUACAAAUGAAUUUGAUCACCGAAAAAACCCUAUACUACUUCUAUUUCAGAAGAGAAGAGAAACAAACAUGCAAUAAUGUACAUCUACAAUCAUAAUAAAAUACAAAAGCCAACAAAACAAGCGAAAAACACACAACAAACAUAGGAAAAGACGUACCUUUUAAAGAGACGGAGAGGAUUUGAUUUAAAAAAUAAAAGGAAAGAUAUUACCGAUUUUAAAAUAAAGUCCAAAAAUCACCAUCGAAACGGAAUUGUGACAAGAAAGGAGAUCGGCCAGAGAAUCGAUCGAUUGUUCUAUUGAUCGCCAUCCAAACAGAAAAUUAGAAAAAAGUACUCAGCCGUUCGUUGACCACCGAUGCGAGAGAGAGUAGUUACCCAGACGUCUUUUUGGGGGACUGAUAUACAAGACGAGAGAUGAGAGAUGGUGAUUUAGGGAUCGUGGACUGAUAUACAAGACGAGAGAUG